rnacentral:misc_RNA from 1 species
UCUGAGCACAGCCAGCUAUAA